rnacentral:rRNA from 1 species
ACUCCUACGGGAGGCAGCAGUGGGGAAUAUUGCACAAUGGGCGCAAGCCUGAUGCAGCCAUGCCGCGUGUGUGAAGAAGGCCUUCGGGUUGUAAAGCACUUUCAGUUGUGAGGAAGGUGGUGUCGUUAAUAGCGGCAUCAUUUGACGUUAGCAACAGAAGAAGCACCGGCUAACUCCGUGCCAGCAGCCGCGGUAAUACGGAGGGUGCGAGCGUUAAUCGGAAUUACUGGGCGUAAAGCGCAUGCAGGUGGUUUGUUAAGUCAGAUGUGAAAGCCCGGGGCUCAACCUCGGAACUGCAUUUGAAACUGGCAGACUAGAGUACUGUAGAGGGGGUAGAAUUUCAGGUGUAGCGGUGAAAUGCGUAGAGAUCUGAAGGAAUACCGGUGGCGAAGGCGGCCCCCUGGACAGAUACUGACACUCAGAUGCGAAAGCUGGGGAGCAAACAGGAUUAGAUACCCUGGUAGCACAGAG